rnacentral:rRNA from 6 species
UUGAUCUGAAAUCAGGCGGGAUUACCCGCUGAACUUAA